rnacentral:rRNA from 1 species
CAGCAGCCACGGGAAUACAGAGGGUGCGAGCGUUAAUCGGAUUUACUGGGCGUAAAGCGUGCGUAGGCGGCUUCUUAAGUCGGAUGUGAAAUCCCUGAGCUUAACUUAGGAAUUGCAUUCGAUACUGGGAAGCUAGAGUAUGGGAGAGGAUGGUAGAAUUCCAGGUGUAGCGGUGAAAUGCGUAGAGAUCUGGAGGAAUACCGAUGGCGAAGGCAGCCAUCUGGCCUAAUACUGACGCUGAGGUACGAAAGCAUGGGGAGCAAACAGGAUUAGAUACCCGAGUAGUCCCUGUCUCUUAUAC